AGCCCGUGAAUCCGGGCGAGCGGAAUUCACGAUCGACGGCGUCGUGCCUCGCGCAAGCGUUCGAACGUUCGUCGUCGAUUCGAUAUUUCCGCCGCCGACCCGUCAUCGGGUGCGGACGUCGCGACCCGUUCGCCGUCGGUCUUUACGGGGCGCGUUUCAAGUUCGUCGCGGAGCGUCGUCUUCGGGCGGCGUUUCGCGACGAUGGCGCGCUAUCUGCGGGCCGACGUAUUUUGACGCGGACGGUAGCUGCAACGUGCGGGUAUUCGACGCCGCCGUACGACCGCGUCCCUUCGGGGGUCGCGUGUCGGGCGCGCGCGUCGACGCCGGUCAGCGACGAAUCUUCGGGCCUCUUUCCGACCCGUCUUGAAACACGGACCAAGGAGUCUAACGUGCGCGCGAGUCGCGGGGUAUCGAGUCGUUACGCGCGACUCGUCACGAUACGAAACCCGUUCACGUACCGCUGUACGAAGGCGUAAUGAAAGUGAAGGACGGCGCUUCGCGCGCCGUCCGGGAAGAUGGCGUUUCCGCGUACACGUUUCUCGGUCACACGGUACCGAGGCCGGACGCCCGCAUUCCCAGGGCGUCCCGUCGAUCCGUCGAGGGUGCGGACGUCGUUCGCGCGGCGUCGGCUCGCGACGGAUCGGGGCGCACCUAUAGCGUGCACGUUGGUACCCGAAAGAUGGUGAACUAUGCCCGGCCAGGAUGAAGUCAGGGGAAACCCUGAUGGAGGUCCGCAGCGAUUCUGACGUGCAAAUCGAUCGUCUGAGCUGGGUAUAGGGGCGAAAGACUAAUCGAACCAUCUA
rnacentral:rRNA from 1 species